rnacentral:rRNA from 1 species
CCCGCUGAACUUAAGCAUAUCAAUAAGCGGAGGAAAAGAAACUAACAAGGAUUCCCCUAGUAACGGCGAGUGAAGCGGGAAGAGCUCAAAUUUAAAAUCUGGUUUGCUUGCAAAUCCGAGUUGUAGUCUGAAGAAACGUUUUCCAUGAAAAUCGAGGCACAAGUCCUUUGGAACAGGGCAUCAUAGAGGGUGAGAAUCCCGUCCAUGGUCUCGAAUCUUUCAUUUUGUGAUACGUUUUCUAAGAGUCAGGUUGUUUGGGAAUGCAGCCUAAAAUGGGUGGUAAAUUUCAUCUAAAGCUAAAUAUUGGCGAGAGACCGAUAGCGAACAAGUACCGUGAGGGAAAGAUGAAAAGCACUUUGGAAAGAGAGUGAAACAGUACGUGAAAUUGUUGAAAGGGAAACGCUUGAAGUCAGUCGCGUCCGCCGGGAUUCAGCCUCACGGUGUACUUCCUGGUGGACGGGCCAGCAUCACUUUUGAUCAUCGGAAAAGGGCGAGAGGAAUGUGGCACCUCCGGGUGUGUUAUAGCCUCUUGUCGUAUACGGUGACCGGGAGUGAGGACCGCCUUUGUAGGAUGCUGGCGUAAUGGCUUUAAACGACCCGUCUUGAAACACGG